rnacentral:lncRNA from 1 species
GAGGGUUGUAGCUUGGAGACGUAGGACCGUAGCUUGGUGAUGUUGGACUGUAACUUGGUGAAGUAGGGCUGUAGCCAGGAGAUGUGGGGCUAUAUGCGGGUGAAGUAGGGCUGUAAGACGGAGAUGUUGGGCUGUAAGAUGGUGAAGUAGGGCUGUAAGAAGGCGAUGUUGGGCUGUAAGAAGGUGAAGUUGGGCUGUAAGAAGGAGAGGUUGGGCUGUAUGCUGGUGAAGUUGGGCUGUAAGCAGGUGAAGUCGGGCUGUAAGCAGGCGAAGUCGGGCUGUAACUUGGGGAAGUAGGACUGUAGCUCGGAGAUGUCGGGCUGUAGCUUGGCGACGUUGGGCUAUAGCUUGGAGACGUUGGGCUGUAGCUCGGAGAGGUAGGAGAAUAGGAAGGACUUGUAGGAGAAUAAGCAGGGCUUGUUGGGCUAUAGCCAGGAGAAC